GAUGAACGCUGGCGGCGUGCCUAAUACAUGCAAGUCGAGCGAACGGACGAGAAGCUUGCGUCUCUGAUGUUAGCGGCGGACGGGUGAGUAACACGUGGAUAACCUACCUAUAAGACUGGGAUAACUUCGGGAAACCGGAGCUAAUACCGGAUGAUAUUUUGAACCGCAGGGUUCAAAAGUGAAAGACGGUCUUGCUGUCACAUAGAGAUGGAUCCGCGCUGCAUUAGCUAGUUGGUAAGGUAACGGCUUACCAAGGCAACGAUGCAUAGCCGACCUGAGAGGGUGAUCGGCCACACUGGAACUGAGACACGGUCCAGACUCCUACGGGAGGCAGCAGUAGGGAAUCUUCCGCAAUGGGCGAAAGCCUGACGGAGCCACGCCGCGUGAGUGAUGAAGGUCUUCGGAUCGUAAAACUCUGUUAUUAGGGAAGAACAUCUGUGUAAGUAACUGUGCCCAUCUUGACGGUACCUAAUCAGAAAGCCCCGGCUAACUACGUG
rnacentral:rRNA from 1 species